UACGUAGGUGGCAAGCGUUGUCCGGAUUUACUGGGCGUAAAGGGAGCGUAGGCGGAUGUUUAAGUGGGAUGUGAAAUACUCGGGCUCAACUUGAGUGCUGCAUUCCAAACUGGAUAUCUAGAGUGCAGGAGAGGAAAGGAGAAUUCCUAGUGUAGCGGUGAAAUGCGUAGAGAUUAGGAAGAAUACCAGUGGCGAAGGCGCCUUUCUGGACUGUAACUGACGCUGAGGCUCGAAAGCGUGGGGAGCAAACAGGAUUAGAUA
rnacentral:rRNA from 1 species